UAAAUGGCCCUUUUCAGGGCCACAAAUUAAUUUCUAUACAAAUAAA
rfam:Tribolium castaneum strain Georgia GA2 unplaced genomic scaffold scaffold_seqid1270, whole genome shotgun sequence.